GACCCUGAGACCCAGGAACUGACAGAGAGUGAGAGAGAGAGAGAGAGAGAGACUGUGGUGAAACUGGAAGCAGGAUGUACAAGAAUUGUCACUGCACAAGGAAAAAUUCUAAAAAAGUACAACAGCGUCAAGAUCCGAGAAAGCAUGAUAAAAAGUGAAAUAAGAAGAACUUAUGAAAAAGUUUUCCAGAAGAUCUACUACCCCUAAGCUGGCUAAGGUAGAAAGACAGACAUGGAAGCCUGAAAAAAGCAUGUCAUUGGAAUAUUUCACCAAGAUCAGGAAGGAGCUGGAUGUUUCCUCAGCAAAUAACCGGAUAUGAAGGCUAAGGGCUGAGCUUCCUUCUGUUUAAAAUAAAAAGACCUAAGGGGGAAAAUAAAAAAGUGCCAUUCAACAAAGAAGCUAUAGUGUAAUCAAUGAAGGCAAGACUGGCACAAGUCCUAGAACAUUUGCAUUCAGAAAUAAACGCCGUGAUCGACCUUUGUCUGGUUUUAAACAGACUGGUGAAGGGAGGAAUAGACUUGAGAGGGAGGAAGAAUGAAUCCCCCACAAAAAAUUAAUAAUUGUACUGCAUCCUUAAUAACCUGCAAGUGAUCAUUUAAAAUUAAUCUGAACCUUGAUGGUCCAAUAUAUAUUGCAGGUUAAAAAUAAAUGAAUACAUAG